rnacentral:piRNA from 1 species
GGAGGCAAGGAUCACGGUUCACAA